rnacentral:tRNA from 1 species
GCCCGCCUAGCUCAAUCGGAUAGAGCGUCAGACUCUUAAGGCGGGAGUGCGUCCCAUCGGUUCCCUCCACCUGGCGAUCUGAAGGCUGCGAGUUCGACCCUCGCGGGGGCUA